rnacentral:rRNA from 1 species
UACGUAGGGGGCAAGCGUUGUCCGGAUUUAUUGGGCGUAAAGAGCGUGUAGGCGGCUAGAUAGGUCCGUUGUGAAAACUCGAGGCUCAACCUCGAGACGUCGAUGGAAACCAUCUGGCUAGAGUCCGGAAGAGGAGAGUGGAAUUCCUGGUGUAGCGGUGAAAUGCGCAGAUAUCAGGAAGAACACCCGUGGCGAAAGCGGCUCUCUGGGACGGUACUGACGCUGAGACGCGAAAGCGUGGGGAGCGAACAGG